UGGGAACGUGCCCUUUGGUUCGGGACAACUCCGGGAAACUGGAGCUAAUACCGGAUACGCCCUUCGGGGGAAAGAUUUAUUGCCAAAGGAUCGGCCCGCGUCUGAUUAGCUAGUUGGUAGGGUAAUGGCCUACCAAGGCUACGAUCAGUAGCUGGUCUGAGAGGAUGAUCAGCCACACUGGGACUGAGACACGGCCCAGACUCCUACGGGAGGCAG
rnacentral:rRNA from 1 species